UGUAUACCCAGGUAACUACACUUGUUAUUCAAUACCUAAGAACACAGGUACAUUCAUGGGCAAAUUCCCAUCUGGUUAUUGCUCCACCUAUCAUAAUCCACCCAUAGCAUUAUUAAUGAAUCAUGCAAAAACAGUUGGGGACAUAUAUUGGCUAUGUGGAAAUAAACAACUAAGAUCCCAACUGGCGGGACUAUGGUGGGGAGAAUGUACUUUGACCAAAGCCAUAAUGCCCAUCCACAUUAUCCCGGAUGGCUAUCACAAUGCGUUAAACCCCGCACACACACACUCCAGAGCCAGGAGGGAAGCCCCAAUCUGAGGAAGCUUUGAUCCACAUGUUUGUAUUGAUGCCAUUGGUGUGCCAAGGUUGGUGCCCAACGAAUUCAAGGCAAGGGAUGAAGUGGCAGCCGGGUUUGAAUCUUUGAUUCCAAUGAUUACUGUUAAUAAGAAUGUCAAUUGGAUUAACUACAUCUAUUACAAUCAGCAGCGGUUUGUUAACUAUACCAGGGAUGCCCUACAGGGCCUAGCAGAACAACUACAAGCCACCACUCAAACGACAUUUCAAAAUAGAAUGGCUCUGGAUAUGAUCUUAGCAGAAAAGGGGGGCGUAUGUAAAAUCCUCCCAGAAACCAUGACAUGCUGCACAUUUAUUCCAGAUAACACUGGGCCCAAUGGUAAGGUAACUAUGGCUAUAGAGAAAUUAGAUAGCCUCUCUGAUGAACUAAGAAAGAACUCAGGAGUCAUUGAUACCUGGGACAGAUGGUUUGGAUGGAUGAAUGGUUGGCAGAGAACCCUAUUCUAGGUUGGGACAGCAGUUCUCGUAAUGAUUGUGAUCUUCCUAUUUUUAACCUGUUGUGUACUUCCUUGUAU